UACGUAGGAAGCGAGCGUUGUCCGGAUUUACUGGGCGUAAAGGGCGUGUAGGCGGAGCGGCGCAUCCUGGAGUAAAUCUAUCGGCUCAACUGAUAGGCUUUCUAGGAGAUGGCCGCCCUUGAGGACAGCAGAGGAAAGUGGAAUUCCCGGUGUAGCGGUGAAAUGCGCAGAUAUCAGGAGGAACACCGGUGGCGAAGGCGGAUCUCUGGGCCAUUACUGACGCUGAGGAGCGAAAGCGUGGGGGAGCGAACAGG
rnacentral:rRNA from 1 species